GGUGCGCAGUGUUCUGCACUUCUGCACGUCUGGCAGCGGGUGCUGUUGAGAGACGUAGGGCGCAGAGUGAGGGCAGGUUUAUCUCUACUUAGGUAGUGUGGACCAGGCUACUGAGACGGGAAGUCAGCCCCUGUCCUGAGGGCAGGCGCCGAGUGUCCCUGCAGGAACAUUCCUCCACCGCCUGAUUCUCUCUUUGCGCUCCACCCACAGAGAGGAGACCAAGGAAGGCGCCCGAGGAAAAACACCGGAGGCUGCCGCCAAUGGGGUGCUGCUCCCUGCCUCUCUUAGAAAGCUGGGUGUCUAGCGGCCUCUUGAAAGAAGGCUUUUUCUGGGGUUCUAGGAGGACUAAAGACAGUUCCUUCACACCCCUUUUAUGACUUUCUCACUUGCCCUGAUCUCCAUCACUCCCCAAGUUCGACUUUGGAUGUGUGGAGAAAUUGGGUUCAAGGCCUGGAUCGCCUCUAUGUCCAGAAAGACCCAGAGAACAAGAGGGUCACCGAGGUGAUGGGCCUAGGCGAGUCUUGUAAGAGCUGACUCGGUCCCACUCCUCCCCACCCUAGGAGAGAACAAAAGGAGAGACCUGGAGCGAGAUCCAGAGGCAGGCGGCCGCGCGCGUGGACGUCCUGGCCACAGCUAGUGCCACGGCAGGGCGCAGGCCUGGCUAAAGGUACCCAGGAAUUCUGAGCAUCCAACUCUAAACUGGUGCACUGUGCUCUUACCACAUGAUGAAUUCUAAAAGCCAUCCCUGGCUCCUCCUCGUGGCCUUCUUCCCAUAAACCCCUGGAUGGAUCCACAUGGAGAAAAAUACACAGGGGCAAGAAAGAUGAGGAGAGCCCCUGUCGGCAGAGGACAUGGAGCAGCUUUGCAUGUGAUCUGAUGAACUGACUCAGAUGUGUUUCUAGACAGCCCUGGCCAGAACCUCAAGGAGCCCACUAAAGCCAAUCAAAGGCUCAGGUUCUAGUGAGCGGCUGGCCACCUUCUGGAAACUCCUUGCUUGGCCUCUGGAGGUUUUGACUUCAUAGUUUGGAUUGUCAUUACCUGUCUUGUCUGUUGGUAAGUGGUUGUUGACUUAUAUUUGUAAGAGGAGGAGCAUUGGGAAAUCCUGUCUUCCAUAUUUGUGACAUCACCCUUGUCCACCAGUGUCAUGGAGUAGGGCCUAUUGUCUCUGCUCACACUCUCAAGGACACUUCUUUGCCCAUACCAUUGACCAAUGUCCUCAUACUGACAAACGUUCUAAGGCCUCUGUCUUAGAGAUCCUGGGCCCAGUUGUAUUCUGAGUGGCUUUCUUUGGAUCACUCAAAAGAUAUCUCAAAUUUACAUGUCCCAGAGGCAAGCUUCAUGUGCUGUUGCCCAGUGACAGAUCCAUCUACUCCCAGGCUGUCUGAUAAAGGCUCUGAAGGCUACAAGUUAAGAGUAGUGCUCAGAGCUUGGCUUCAGAGCAGGGAGGCUUGUGCUUAGAAUAUCCUCUUCCUCUUAGCGAAGCUUGCCUCCCUGCCCUAGCCCUUGUCGCUGUGUGCUUCAUCUUUUAUUCUCUGCACAGCUAGUUUCCACCCCCUAACUGAUCACCAGCCUUGACUUCACCUAAAUUCUGUUCAUUUUUUUUGACUGGCUGUCAAAAGCUUCCCUGCCCAGCAUCCCAGGAUCCAUCCUGCCACCUAAUCUGUGCUUACCAAGUAGCACCACUUCAACUUCUGUUUUCCAAGCACCUCCUGUGGGUGCUAUACCUUCUCCUGCACACAUCUCCCCAGAGUCCAGGCCAGGUAGCAUUACCUACAUUUCUGUCUGUUACUUGUCCCCUGUGGUCAGACUGCUGGGUGGUGGGGGUACUCCUCCCCUCUCCUUUGUUGCUGGGUUUGGCCCUGGUGACAUGGUUUUGGCUUAUUUCUCCCUCUCUCCAUGCUACACUCUAUCCCUGAGGUAGAUAGCUCUGAUAAGGGGUGGACAGGAGGGACAGGGAGUGGGGAGGGCUGGAUUUCACAAAGCAUUGCAACACUUUGCCUUCUGGACAUCUGGUGUUCAGACUCAGAGGCAUAGGGCCCUUUGCUUGUCUUAGGUCAGCCUCUUUAUUUAUGCCCUCCAACCCAUCAGCACAGGCCUCCUCCUUUUCAUGACACCCUGCUAUCUUCCUGUCAAUGUGCCCACAUACCAUCUUUCCUCCCUCACCAAGUCCUCUGAAUGCUGCCUCACUCUGGUUCCCAGCAGUCCUGGGGUUUGGAUGUAAUUGCUCCCCAGCCACUGUGUCCAGGGCCACACAUCAUCCUACCUGCUGAGAUGCCCACAACCUAGCUCUUUGGGCAGGGCCAUGUCAGCUGCACUUGCAUUGAUACUCAGCUGCAGUGAUGCUCCCUCCUAGCUUCCUACCUUUCCCUUCCUUCCCCAGCUGGCCAGGUUUCUGGCUUGCUUUGCCUCCUCCUGGCCAAUUGCCCCAGGUCUGUUUCUCAGGCAUUCCAUACCUUCUCAUGUCCUCACUGGAUGACCUCAGCUUCUUUCCUUGGUCACAACUGUGACAUCAGUGUCUCUGAGUAUCUUGUCCAUACCUCUUACUGCCAGCUGGCUAUUACCACCUGGAAGCCCAUAGCACUUCAGAUGUUAGUUAAAAAUUGAGUUCAUGGUUAUUCCUUCCCACCUCUAGCCUGAUGUCUCUUUCCAUGGCCUUCACAUACUCUUACAGACGUUAAAGUUCUAUACACAUAUCCCUUUGGCUCUGUCAACUCCUGCCCCUCCUGGUCUGCACUGUUCUGUUUUCAGCAUUGCUUCUUCCCAGCCCCCAUUCCCAUCUCAAAGCCAGAGGGAUUGUCUUAAGACAGAUACUUAGCUACUCCUCCCUUUAGGGCCCCUUAAUGGUCCCUUGUGGCCUUGAGAACAAAGUCCAGCUUGCAGGUCCUACGUGACCUGGCUCUUGUGCCCCUCUGGCCUCCCCUCUCCCACUUCCUCCCUGCUCACAUUCCAGUCCCAGCUCUUUAUUUGCAGUUUCCAGAAUACACUAGGAUACUUAGUGUCCCUCUGCUUUAUUCUAAAUAAGGUCACAUUCUGAAGCUCCAGGUGGACUCAUGUUUUGUGAGGCCACUAUUUAGCUUAGUAAUUCCUCUCCCUGACCCUCAAAUUCACAUCAACAGCAUGUAGAAAACAUUAUUCCACUCCAUCCCUCCUGUCAUUCCUCUGUCUGCCCUCAUGCAGUCUGCCUUUCUGCCAGGAAAGGGUACACUUUUUUUAAAAAACCCUAGCCUCAUCAACCUGGGAAAGGGCCAUCACUGUCUCUAGUACCUUGUCCCAGCCUGGAUCAUGGAAGGGCUCUAGCAAGGUGAGUAGAGCCAGGAAUGAAGAGAGUUGCAAGCCUGGGACCCUGCUCUAUACUUAGGCUGUGUGCAGCUGGACAGGGCAGUGAACAGCUGGUUUCAGGCAGGCUCUGGGAUCUGGGACCAUAAGCUGUUGCUUUGCAUCCCACCACCAUUCCUGGAAAAGGUAGUUACACACUGUACCCUAGGCUUAGUCCUAAACUAGGCUGCCAGGGUAUGGAGAGGCCCAAGAAUGGGGCCUACCUCCAGGGGACCUCUGCCUCCUAGGACAGCUGGCUUCAAUAGCUGUUGUCAUUUGCCUAAGGCUACCAACUCUGCCCAUGCAGUCAAUAGGCACCUUGUUGCUUGCCUUAUUCACUCUUGUGGCCUCAUUCUGCCUCCAGGCAAGGAUUCCUACCCUGCAAGUUCCGUCCUGUCCUAUUCCAUCCUGUCCUGUGUCCCAUCAGCCCCCUCUUCCAGGCCCUGAUAGUUGCCUUCAAAUCCCUGUCUCCUGUUCCAGAGCCUGAAGGCACUGCCUUGCAUCCUGGAGGCUCCAGCUUCUUUGGUUCUUCUGGUCCAGGCUCCCCUCAGGCUCCUUUCCCACUGUCCACCAUCUGCCAUAACCCUUGCUGGUCUCAACAGUACAAUUCCAGUUUUUGUUUCUGGCAUUUUCCUUCCCAGAAAGUAUCUAAUACUUUCAGACAUGCUUCAAUCAUCUCAGGCCAGCCCCAGCUUCUUUCUCCCUAGUGUUCUCACCUUCCACCCCCUUCAGCUGGUGCCGGUAUCUCUUCAAGGCCUCAGGCCACUUCAGGUGGCUGGGACUAGCUUAAAGAGAGGCAAGUGUGUGCUUGUCAAGGCUUUGCUGGCCACAGGCCUCCCCUUCCUUCUUCAGCUGGCCAACUCCCAGGUACUGUAGGAAGAGGACAAGCUGCCAUGUUAUCACACUGGUGGUCCCUGGGACACUUCUGCCACAUGUUCCAUGACCAGUUAGCUGCAGACCUCUCUACUGAGGAAACCAUAAUGAGUGGUUGUCUGGGAAGAGGGAAAGCAUCUCUGUGAGGUAUAGGUCAUCUUGGUGGCUGCACAGAAUCCCACCAGACAGAGGCACAAGCAUGCACCAAGAGCUGUGGUCCCUAGGAAAUAUGGGGUAGGAUACUGUGACAAGGCUGGCCUGUCUAGUGUUCUGGGCUUGCUGUAUUUUACUGAAGAACAGGGGACAACACCAAGUGAUGGUGGCACACGCCUUUAAUCCCAGCACUUGGGAGGCAGAGCCAGUAGAUCUCUGUGAGUUCGAGGCCAGCCUGGGCUACCAAGUGAGAUCCAGGACAGCCAGGGCUACACAGUGAAACUCUUGUCUAGAAAAAAAAAAACAGAAAAAAAAGAACAGGGCACAAGACUGACACACAGACCUACAGCCAGAGAGUGACAGCAUGACCACACAUGUCUGUGCACAGGCCUUCUCAGGGACAACAAUGUACCUCUUGUCCCACUGAGGCAAACUGGCAAGGAGGCUGCCAGAUUGAGAACACUGAGGCUGUGGGAGAGGGAAGUUGGGGUUAGGUGAAGAAACUUGAGGGGAUCUGACAGAACUGUUGGGGUGCAUUUUGGGAAAGAAUAAGUCAGAAACAAGAAGACUGGGACAGAGUGGCAGGAAGCUGGGAGUGAACAGUGACAAGUAGGUAAGGGGGAGUGGGCAAGGAGGUUAAACUGACAAUAGGUGGUAACAAUAGCAGCGAGAGACACAAAUUCUAUAGUAUAACAGUCAUAGAGAGCUUAUCACGGGUUGUAUUUCAUAUGCUGAAGUCCUGGCUCCCAGUACCUGGGAAUGUGACUUUAUUUGGAAAUCAGCUCUUUGCAGAUAAAGCAGGAUGAGGUCAGACUGGAGGGAGGUGGGCCCCUAAUCCAUGAAGAUCAGUGUCGUUACAAAAGAGGGGAAUUUGGACACAAACACACAGGAAGAUGUGAAGAUGGAAGCAAAGAUCUACAAGACAAAGCAGACCAAAGGUCACAGGCCAACCAGCAGAAUCCAGGCCAAGGCCAGGAACACAUCACCCCCUGAGCCUUCAGGGGCAGAAGGUCCUGUCAAUACCCACAUCUCGGACUUCUGUCCUCUGGACUGGGGGGAAAAUAAAUAAAUGUCUGUUGUUUUAAGGCUCCUUGUGGGUGGUAUUUUGCUAUCACAGCUCUAGCAAAUCAUUUCCAAAAUGUUUUCUCAUAUGUAAUAUCACUUAAUUCUAAAGUAUCUGUAUGAAGUAAAUACUCUCAUUUUUUCCUAGAUGAAAACACUGGGAUUCAGGACAUUUGAGUGACUUUACCAGGGUUAUUUAAUCAGUCUGAGGUACAUUCAGAACUGAGUUCAACUCUUGGUACUUUAUUGUAGAUCUAGUGAAACUUUAGAACUCUAAACACCUGAAGAUUCCUGAUAUGUUCUGAUUUUAUUCCUCAAUUCAAAAUUUAUUGUGAAUGUAUGUAUGUGGGAGUGUACAUUCCAUAAUAUGUGUGCAAGUCAGAGGAUAGUUUUUGGAAUUCAGUUUUCUCUUUCCAUCCAUGUAGGUCCCAGAGAUCAAACUAAGGUCAUUAGGCUUGGCAACACUUUUACCUGCUGAGACAUUUCCCUGGCCCCAAUUAAAAAAAUAAUGCUUUUAUUAAUUCCUUGAAAAUUUCAUACAAUGUAUUUUAAUCAUAUUCACCCAACUCCCCAACUCUUCUCAGACCCACUCUCUCCUCUCUACUUCAUGUUCUCUCUCUUUUCUAAAAAAAAAAAAAAAGCAAACAAACAAAAAAUGAAUCCAAUUUGUGUUAUUCAAAUACUCUUGGGUGUGGGCCCCUAAAUUUUAAAAUUAAUUUUUAGCAUAAAGAUAAUGACAUUUUUGUAUACAUAUAUCUGAGCAAUUUGCUUUUAUAUACUAAAAUAAUUAUUCUUUUUUAAAAUGUAUAUGCUGUGUGCCUAUUUGAAUUUUUGUAUACCAUGUUCAUGCAGGUGCCCUUGGAGACCAUAGGUCAUUAGAUUCCCUGGUACUAGAGUUUUUGUUUUGUUUUGUUUUUCUUUUUCUUUUUUGUUUUUUCGAGACAGGGAUUCUCAGUGAAACAGUCCUGGCUGUCCUGGAACUCACUCUUACUCUGUAGACCAGGCUGGCCUUGGACUCACAGAGGUCCACCUGCCUCUGCCUCCCGAGUGCUGAGAUUAAAGGUGUGUGCCACCACCACUGGCUCCUGGAACUAGAGUUUACAGAACAUUGUGACCCACCUGAUGUGGGUGCUGGGAACCCAACCAGAUUCCUUAUAGUGCGCUUGAUUGUUGAGCUAUCUCUCCAGCCCUGCAAUAUACACACUUUCAAUUUUCUUUUAAAGUGUUUAUUUCUCAAGUUUUAGGUAUGAUAGAUAUUGUUAAUUGAGUCAAGCACUACUUUCAUUACAUUCAACUAGUUUUUUCCAUGCUAUAGCUUUAGUUUCAUUCAUUUCAGUGUAUUAAAAUUUUUCUUCCAAAAAGUUUUUUUUCUUAUUACUUCCUCUUUGUAUUAGUCAGGGUUCUCUAGAGGAACAGAAUGACUCUGUAUACACACACACACACACACACACACACACACACACACACACACACACACGCACACACAUUAGAACGGCUUACAGGCGGUGGUCCAGCUAGUCCAACAAUGGCUGUCUACCAAUGGAAGGUCCAAGAAUCCAGCAGUUGCUCAGUCCAUGAGGCGAGAUGAGAUGAUCUUCAGUAUAUGCUGGAAUCCUGAAGAAAUAGGCUCUAAUGCCAGUGAAGGAAUGGACUUGCCAUCGAAAGCGAAGGCAAGCAGGAAAAGAGAGAGAGCGAGCAUCCUUCUUCCAUGUCUUUAUAUAGGCUGCCAGCAGAAGGUAUGGCCCAGAUUAAAGGUAAAUCUUCCCAUCUCAAAAGAUUCAGAUUAAAGGUGGGUAUUUCCACUUCAAAUGAUUUAAUUAAGAGAAAUCCUUCACAGGUGUACCCAGCUGCUUGGGUUUUAAUUUAUUCCAGCUGUAGUCAAGUUGACAGCCAAAGAAUAGCCAUCAUGCUCUUUGAUGCAUGGGUUGUUUAUUUAUGAUGCUGGGGAUCAAACCCAAGGUUUUGUGCAAGCUAGGCAAGCACUUUAUUUUUGAGCCACAUCCCCUGUCUGAAUAGUAAAUUGUUUAGAAGUGUGUUUAGAUUCAUUUCUUUUAUCAAGUACUAGGUUGUAUUGUGAUUGGAGAACACACUCUGUAUGAUUUCAGUUUUUAAAAAGUUUGUUGAAAUUUUCCUAGGACAUGGUCUAUAUUGAUAUGUAUUCCAUAGGCACUUGGAAAGAAUGGACAUUCUGCUAUUGGGUACUGUGCUCUAUAAAUAUCUUUUUUGAUUCUGCUUGUUGAUGGUAUUGUUGAGUUAUUUUAUAUUUCAGCUGAUUUUCUGUCUAGUUAUUGUUGUAAAAUUUAACCGAGGUUGGGUCUGAGGAGAUAUCUCAGCUAGUAAAGUGCUUGCUUCACAAUUCUGAGGACCUGAGUUUAAUUCUCAGAAUCUAUUUAAAAAGCUGGACAUAGUGGAAUGAAUUUCUAAUUCUAGCACUGGGGAGGCAGAGGCAGGAGGAUUCCUGGGCCUCACUGGCCAGCUAGCCUUGCCUACUUGUUGAGUUCCAGGCUAGUGAUAUACCCUGUCUUAAAAACCAGGCACACACACACCCAGAACUCGAGAGGCAGAGGCAGGCAGUUCUCUAUGAGUUCAAGGCCAGCCUGGUCUAUAAAGCAAGUUCCAGGACAGUCAGGGCUGUUAUACAGAGAAACCCUGUCUUGAAAAACCAAAAACAACAAUAACAACAACAAACAACACAACAAAAAAUCAAUCAAACAAACAACAACAACAAAACAAAGCACACAAUUCCUGAGGUACAACUUUGAAAAUUGUCCCCUGGCCUCCACUUUUGUGAGUGCAUGCACAUAUGUGAUGAAUACAUGUUCACAUGUGCAUGGACACACACACACACACACACACACACACACACACACACACACAC